rnacentral:rRNA from 1 species
CCUACGGGUCGCAGCAGUGGGGAAUUUUCCGCAAUGGGCGAAAGCCUGACGGAGCAAUGCCGCGUGAGGUAGAAGGCCCACGGGUCGUGAACCUCUUUUCCCGGAGAAGAAGCAAUGACGGUAUCUGGGGAAUAAGCAUCAGCUAACUCUGAGCCAGCAGCCGCGGUAAUACAGAGGAUGCAAGCGUUAUCCGGAAUGAUUGAGCGUAAAGCGUCUGUAGGUGGCUUUUUAAGUCCACCGUCAAAUCCCAGGGCUCAACCCUGGACAGGCGGUGGAAACUACCAAGCUGGAGUACGGUAGGGGCAGAGGGAAUUUCCGGUGGAGCGGUGAAAUGCGUAGAGAUCGGGAAGAACACCAACGGCGAAAGCACUCUGCUGGGCCGACACUGACACUGAGAGACGAAAGCUAGGGGAGCGAAUGGGAUUAGAUACCCCUGUAGUC